rnacentral:tRNA from 1 species
AUUAUAAUAGUUUAAUUUCAAAACUCUGAGUUGUGGUCUCAGUAAUAUAGCUUUCUAUUUUUAAUC